rnacentral:rRNA from 1 species
UACGUAGGGGGCGAGCGUUGUCCGGAUUCAUUGGGCGUAAAGGGUGCGUAGGCGGCGCGGUAAGUCGGGUGUGAAAUCUCGGAGCUUAACUCCGAAACUGCAUUCGAUACUGCCGUGCUUGAGGACUGGAGAGGAGACUGGAAUUUACGGUGUAGCGGUGAAAUGCGUAGAUAUCGUAAGGAAGACCAGUGGCGAAGGCGGGUCUCUGGACAGUUCCUGACGCUGAGGCACGAAGGCUAGGGGAGCAAACGGG